UACGUAGGGUGCGAGCGUUGUCCGGAAUUAUUGGGCGUAAAGGGCUCGUAGGUGGUUUGUCGCGUUGUCCGUGAAAACUCACAACUCAAUUGUGGGCGUGCGGGCGAUACGGGCAGACUGGAGUACUGCAGGGGAGACUGGAAUUCCUGGUGUAGCGGUGGAAUGCGCAGAUAUCAGGAGGAACACCGGUGGCGAAGGCGGGGUCUCUGGGCAGUAACUGACGCUGAGGAGCGAAAGCGUGGGGAGCGAACAGG
rnacentral:rRNA from 1 species